UACAGAGGUGCAAGCGUUGUUCGGAAUCAUUGGGCGUAAAGGGCGUGUAGGCGGUUUGUUAAGUCAUGUGUGAAAUCCCCGGCUCAACCGAGGAACGACGCAUGAAACUGGCAAGCUAGAGUACCGAAGAGGGGGUGGAAUUCCUGGUGUAGCGGUGAAAUGCGCAGAUAUCAGGAGGAACACCGGUGGCGAAGGCGGGUCUCUGGGCCGAUACUGACGCUGAGGAGCGAAAGCGUGGGGAGCGAACAGG
rnacentral:rRNA from 1 species